rnacentral:SRP_RNA from 1 species
GCCAGCUAUGGUGCCUUGUGCCUGUAGUCCCAGAUACUUAGGAGGCUGAGGCAGGAGAAUUGCUUGAGCCUGGGCAGGCUGAGGCUGCAGUGAGCUGAGAUCACACCACUGCACUCCAGCCUGGGCAACAGAGCAAUAUCCUGUCUCAA